rnacentral:rRNA from 1 species
GAACGGUAACGCGGAGAGCUUGCUCUCUGGCGACGAGUGGCGGACGGGUGAGUAAUACUUAGGAAUCUGCCCAGUAGUGGGGGACAACUCGGGGAAACUCGAGCUAAUACCGCAUACGCCCUACGGGGGAAAGCGGGGGAUCUUCGGACCUGGCGUUAAUGGAGCGGCCGAUAGCUGAUUAGGUAGUUGGUGGGGUAAAGGCCUACCAAGCCUGCGAUCAGUAGCUGGUCUGAGAGGACGACCAGCCACACUGGGACUGAGACACGGCCCAGACUCCUACGGGAGGCAGCAGUGGGGAAUUUUGGACAAUGGGGGAAACCCUGAUCCAGCCAUUCCGCGUGAGUGAAGAAGGCCUUCGGGUUGUAAAGCUCUUUCGCAAGGGAAGAAAACUUACCCUCUAACAUAGGGUGAGGAUGACGGUACCUUGACAAGAAGCACCGGCUAACUACGUGCCAGCAGCCGCGGUAAUACGUAGGGUGCGAGCGUUAAUCGGAAUUACUGGGCGUAAAGCGUGCGCAGGCGGCCUUAAAAGUCAGAUGUGAAAUCCCCGAGCUCAACUUGGGAACUGCGUUUGAAACUCUAAGGCUAGAAUAUGUCAGAGGGGGGUAGAAUUCCACGUG